rnacentral:rRNA from 1 species
GCAGCCAUCAUUUAAAGAAAGCGUAAUAGCUCACUGGUCGAGUCGGCCUGCGCGGAAGAUGUAACGGGGCUAAACCAUGCACCGAAGCUGCGGCAGCGAACGUAUCACUUAAAGCGAUUCAGCGGGUUACGAUUGACGGAGCGAAGCGACGUCAAAGCGUAUACAAAGUCGAGUCGGUUUAAGGAUACGUUCGUUGGGUAGGGGAGCGUUCUGUAAGCCUGUGAAGGUGUGUCGUGAGGCAUGCUGGAGGUAUCAGAAGUGCGAAUGCUGACAUAAGUAACGAUAAAGCGG